CGAGAGCCCGGGCGUUUGCAACUUUUCCUUCGCUUUCUCUUCCACCGCCCCCCGAGAGGGAAGAAAAAUGUCUACAAGGAUGAAGAAGUGGAGGCAUUGUUAUCCACAUUUUGCAAAUAAGGAUCCAAGACACCAAUUGCGCAAGGUCAGCAGCUCUAUCCCAAAGCUAUUAAACUUUCCAUUACAAUAUAACCACCUGGCAGAGGUAUUGCCCAGAUAGGAUCAAACUGUGGAAAAUGUCAACAGCCCAGGAAGAGCGAAAAGCAGGGACAGGGAAGAACUUCAGGAUUUUGAACACGCAUGAUGAGAUUAAUGAGGAUACGUCUAGGUCGAGCUUCAGCUGGUCACAGGAAAUGGACUCUGGGAAAGGGUAGGCAAGACCUUAGAUAAAUGUCAUAGAUGGUAAGUACAUAGAAAUGGGGGAGGGGGAGGGAAAGACAAACAAGAUUAAAAUGUGAAGGAAAAUCUGUUUGUCUUUGGGGCUGAUCGGCUGAGAGCAACAAGAGAGAUCAAAGAAGAUUUGAGUCUAAAUGAUUCAGUGGGUUAUUGACGGGACAGAGACAUCAUACAAGGACCUGGUUUGUGUCUCCCCCCCCCCCAAAAUGUUUUUGAACAUAUUAUUCAUUUUAUAAAACAAUGACCUAAAGGGAUGAUCUAUAGGUAGUCCAGGAAUGGAGGUUUGGGGUUUGGAGCUCAGGUAAAGAGCAAAUGCUGGACAGCAGAAAGUGUUGACCACAGUUGACCAAAAAGGGCUAGACAACAGCCAGUGAAGGAAAAUGGUUACAACGGCAGCCCAGGGCUGCAGCUCAUCGGGUAGAGUGUUCACCCAGCAUACAAACCCAGGGUUCAGUCCCUGCCAUAAACUGGCCAUUUUGGCUGAUGCCUAUAAUCCAGGAGCUGGGGAGGUGGAACCUGAAUAAUCAAGAACUCAAUGUCAGGGCUGGAGAGAUGGCUUAGCUGUUCUUCCUUCCAGAGGACCUGGGUUCGAUUCCUACCAGCCACCCCACAGCCACUGACGAUCAUCUGCAACUCCAGUUCCAGGGAACCUAAUGUGCUUUUCUUCUGUUUGAGGGCACUGCACACACAUGGUGCACAGACACACUCGAAGGCACAGAAAAUGGAAAGGUUUCUUAAACCUUCACCAAAGCCCCUCGAGGUCAGCACUUUCUACCUAGCAAGUCUGAGGCCAACCUGAGUGACAGGAGAGCCUGUCUAAAAGUUGGCAGCUGUGGUGCCGAGGAAGUGAAAGGGCCUGUGAGGCUGCAGCCCAGCUGUCCUUGGCUUCUGUGGGUUUUUAACCUGGAAGACAGUGGGGCCAUCAGUUGGGAAUAACUUGCUACAAAGACUCCUCCUGGGAAGCGGGGUAUGGUGGUGCUCACCUGUAAUCCUGGAACGUGAGACUGCGGCAGGGGGAUCACAAGUUUAAGAACACUGUCUCAAAAAAAAUAAGAUAAAAUAAAAAUUAAAAACUAAA